AAGCCAGAGUGUGGGGGGCUGUGUGUGCUGGAGUGCAAGAGGUGCAAGGCCGACCUGAGCCCUGCUAACCCUUCAGAGACAAACAGGCGCCACAAGUGCACAACAGCAGCAUUGGCAGCAGUGGAAGCAGCAGGAGGUGGCAGCAGCAAAGGUGAAGGCAGCAGCAGCAAGAAGCAUGCCAGGGAGGAGCAGGAGGUGGAAGAGGUGGACUGCAUUGGCCAGCCCGACGCCAAGAAGCGCAAGAUGGCAGCCUUCACAGUGACUCCAGCCCAGCACAAACAGUUCCACAGACUGUUUGCAGUGCACCUCAUCAAGGAG
rnacentral:lncRNA from 1 species